rnacentral:rRNA from 1 species
UACGUAGGGUGCAAGCGUUAAUCGGAAUUACUGGGCGUAAAGCGUGCGCAGGCGGUUUUGUAAGUCUGUCGUGAAAUCCCCCGGGCUCAACCUGGGAAUUGCGAUGGAGACUGCAAGGCUGGAGUCUGGCAGAGGGGGGGGUAGAAUUCCACGUGUAGCAGUGAAAAUGCGUAGAGAUGUGGAGGAACACCGAUGGCGAAGGCAGCCCCCCUGGGUCAAGACUGACGCUCAUGCACGAAAGCGUGGG